UAACUUCGAAUUAAAUAAAAAUACCCGCUAAAUUUAAAUAUAUUAAUAAAUAGAAGAAAAGAAACUAAUAGGGAUUACCCUAAUAAUAGCAAAUAAAGUAGUAAUAGUUCAAAUUUAAAAUCUAACUUCGGCCCGAAUUAUAAUUUAUAGAAGAAGCUUUUAGUAAAGCACUUUUUAAAUCCCUUAGAACAGAGCGCUAUAGAGGGUAAAAGCCCUAUAUAGUUGGAUGCCGAUCUAAUAUAAAGUUCCUUUAAUAAAUUAAAUAAUUUAGGAAUACUAUUUAAAAUAGGAGGUAAAUUUCUUCUAAAAUUAAAUACCGGCUAGAGAUUAAUAGCGUAUAAGUAGAAUAAUUAAAAAAUAAAAAAUAUUUUAAAAAGAGGAUUAAAUAGUAUGUAAAAUUAUUAAAAGGGAAGCGUUUAUAAUUAGACUUAUACUAUUCUAAUUAUUUAAUAUUUUUACCAGUAUAUUUAGGAUAGUUUAAAUUAGCAUCGGUUUUAGUAGGGGGAUAAAAGUCCGAGGAACGUAGCUCCUCUAGGAGUAUUAUAACCCCGGGCGUAAUACCUUUACUAGGACUAAAGUUCGCGCAUUUAUAAGGAUAUUAGCGUAAUAGUUAUUAAUAACCUAUUUUAAAAUACGGAUUAAAGAAUCAAAGUUUUACACAAAUAUUUAGGUAUAAAAUCCGUAUGUAUAAUAAAAGUAAAUGUAAGUAAGAACUUCGGCGUAUUAUCGACCGAUCUUAAUAUAUUCGAAUAAAUUUAAAUAAAAAUAUUAAACCUUAAACUUAAAAGAUAGUAAAUUAUAUUUAGAUAGGGUGAAGCUAAAGGAAAUUCUAGUAGAAGUUUGUAAUAAUUUUAACAUACAAAUCGAUUAUUAAAUUUAAGUAUAGGAGCGAAAGAUUAAUCGAAUUAUUUAGUAAUUAAUUACUACCGAAAUUUCCCUUAGGAUAAUAGUAUUAUUCUUUAGUUUUAUAAAGUAAAGCGAAUAAUUAAGGACUCGGGGGCGCUUUUUAACCUUUAUCUAUUUUUAAAUUUUAAAUAUAUAAGAAGCCCUUAUUAUUUAAUUAAACGUAGGUAUUCAAAUAUACUAAUAUUAGUAGGCUAUUUUUAGUAAAUAAAAUUAGUAAUAUAAAAUAAAUUAAAUACAGGGUUAAAGUACUAGAGUAGAUGCUUAUUAAAUACUAUAAAAAGCGUUAGUAUAUUUUAAUAGUAGGACGGUGGUUAUAAAAGUCGGAAUCCGCUAAAGACUAUAUAAUAAUUCACCUACCGAAUAUAUUAGCCCUAAAAAUAGAUAGUAUUUAAGCGUUCCACCUAUACCCCGCCCUUAGGGUAGAAAUAAUACUCUAAGGAGUAGGUGGUUGUAGAGGUUAGUAACGAAGCCUAGGGUAUAAGCCCGGGUUGAAUGGCCUCUAAUAUAGAUUUUAAUAGUAGUAGUAAAUAUUUUAAUAAGAAUUUAAAGGAUNNNNNNNNNNNNNNNNNNNNNNNNNNNNNNNNNNNNNNNNNNNNNNNNNNNNNNNNNNNNNNNNNNNNNNNNNNNNNNNNNNNNNNNNNNNNNNNNNNNNAUUUUUAAUAUUCUUUAAAAAUCUAUAGGAGGGAAUAAUUCUUAUACUAAAUUAUACUUAUAACUAUAGUAGGUCUUUAAGGUAAAUAGCCUUUGGUUGAUAGAAUAAUAUAAAUAAAGGAAGUUAGUAAAAUAGAUUUAUAAUUUUAAGAAAAGGAUUAGCUCUAAGGGUUAGGUAUAUUGGGUUUUGGGUAGACGCUUUAGGAGUAAAUUACUACUAGUUAGAUAAUUAACCGGCGGCUUUUAGUAUCCGGGUAUAAAAGCCCUUAAUAAAUUUCGGUUGUCCGGCGUACGUUUAAUAAUUAAUUUAGAAUUAGUAUAGAUAGGGGGAAUUUAAUUAUCUAAUUAAAAUAUAGUAUUAUAAUAGUUAGAAAGUAGUGUUAAUGCAAUAUAAUUUCUGCCUAGUGCUUUGAAUAUUAAAGUAAAGAAAUUUAAUUAAGUAUAAGUAAAUAGUAGGAAUAAUUAUAAUUUUUUUAAAGUAGUUAAAUACUUUAUUAUUUAAUUAGUAAUAUAUAUAAAUAGAUUAACGAGAUUCCUACUAUCCCUAUUUAUUAUUUAGCGAAAUUAUAGCUAAGGGAAUAAGUUUAGUAAAAUUAGUAGGGAAAGAAGACUCUAUUAAACUUAACUUUAAUUUAAUAUUAUAAAAAGAUAUAGGAAAUAUAAAAUAGGUAGGAGCUUCAGCGCUAGUAAAAUACUACUAUUCUUAUUAUUUUUUUACUUAUUUAAUUAAGCGGGGCUAGAUUUUCGUCCAACUUCUAAUUUUAAAGUCUUUUACAAACCGACCCGGGUUAAAGAUAUUGUUAGGUAGGGAGUUUGGCUAAAGUAGUAUAUUUAUUAAACUAUAAUGUAGGUAUCCUAAGGGGGGCUUAUAGAAAAUAGAAAUCUCUAGUAAAAUAAAAGGGUAAAAGUCCCUUUAAUUUUAAUUUUUAGUAUAAAUACAAACUAUAAAAGUAUAGCCUAUUAAUCCUUUAGUCCCUCGAAAUUUAAAGCUAGAAGUACUAGAAAAGUUACUAUAGGGAUAAUUGGCUUAUAGCGGCCAAAUGUUUAUAACAAUAUUACUUUUUAAUCCUUCAAUAUUAGUUCUUCCUAUUAUACUGAAAUAGAAUUCAAUAAACAUUAAAUUAUUUACUUACUAAUAAGGAACGUAAACUAGGUUUAAACUAUCGUAAAAUAAGUUAAUUUUACCCUACUAAUAACUUUAUUACAAUAGUAAUUAAACUUAAUAUAAAAGGAACUAUUUAUUUAAAUAAUUAGUUUUUAUAAUUAUUCGACUAGGUAGUACCGCAACGCUACUAUCUAUUAAAUAAUAAUUGAACGCCUCUAAAUUAGAAUUUAUAUUAGAAUGUAAUAAUACUUCUAGUAUAUUAUAGAUAUAUAAAAAUAGGCUCCGGCCUUAUAUUUUAGUAAGCGAUUCCUCUAUUAGCCUUAAAGUAGUUAGUAGUAAUUUGUAUAUUAUAAUUUUAAUAUACGUUAGAUUAAAUCCUUUAUAAACGAUUUAAAUAUGCGAAAGGGUCUUAUAAAUAGUAGAGUAGCUUUAUUAUUACAAUCUACUAAAGGUAAGCCCUCCUUCGCUUAAAUUUCC
rfam:Neurospora crassa OR74A unplaced genomic scaffold supercont12.8, whole genome shotgun sequence.